AGGACGAACGCUGGCGGCGUGCUUAACACAUGCAAGUCGAACGGUGACCCAGGGCUUGCCCUGGUGAUCAGUGGCGAACGGGUGAGUAACACGUGGGCAACCUGCCCCAGACUCUGGGAUAACUCCGGGAAACCGGGGCUAAUACCGGAUACGAAUCGAGUUGGCAUCUUCUCGAUUGGAAAGUUUUUCGGUCUGGGAUGGGCCCGCGGCCUAUCAGCUUGUUGGUGGGGUAAUGGCCUACCAAGGCGACGACGGGUAGCCGGCCUGAGAGGGCGACCGGCCACACUGGGACUGAGACACGGCCCAGACUCCUACGGGAGGCAGCAGUGGGGAAUUUUGCGCAAUGGGGGAAACCCUGACGCAGCAACGCCGCGUGGAGGAUGAAAUCCCUUGGGAUGUAAACUCCUUUCGAUCGGGAAGAUGAUGACGGUACCGAGAGAAGAAGCCCGGACUAACGUUCGCGCCAGCAGCCGC
rnacentral:rRNA from 1 species